rnacentral:rRNA from 1 species
UAGUCUACGCCGUAAACGAUGGAUACUAGUUGUUUGGCCUUCGGGCUGAGUGACUAAGCGAAAGUGAUAAGUAUCCCACCUGGGGAGUACGUUCGCAAGAAUGAAACUCAAAGGAAUUGACGGGGGCCCGCACAAGCGGUGGAGCAUGUGGUUUAAUUCGAUGAUACGCGAGGAACCUUACCAGGGCUUAAAUGUAGUCUGACAGCUUUAGAGAUAGAGUUUUCUUCGGACAGAUUACAAGGUGCUGCGUGGUUGUCGUCAGCUCGUGCCGUGAGGUGUCGGGUUAAGUCCCAUAACGGGCGCAACCCCUAUUCUUAGUUGCCAGCGAGUAAUGUCGGGGACUCUAGGAAAACUGCCAGUGUAAGCUGUGAGGAAGGUGGGGAUGACGUCAAAUCAUCACGGCCCUUACGUCCUGGGCUACACACGUGCUACAAUGGUUGGUACAGAGGGCAGCUACCCAGUGAUGGGAUGCGAAUCUCUAAAGCCAGCCCUAGUUCGGAUUGAAGUCUGCAA